UCAUUAUUCAUGCAUUUAAGGGUUAAAAGGGUCAUAUUGUUGCUAACCCCACUUUUAUUAGUCUUUGGGAUUUAUUUGUGUAUUUGGGGACCCUAAUAAUUCAAAAAGUUUGAAUCUGAACCCUCCAAGUGCUACAAAGCUACAGUAUCUUUAUAU